GGAAGUAAAAGUCGUAACAAGGUUUCCGUAGGUGAACCUGCGGAAGGAUCAUUACAGUAGUCGCCCGGGUUGCCGCAAGGCCUCCCGGGUAACCUACCACCCUUUGUUUAUUACACUUUGUUGCUUUGGCAGGCCUGCCCUCGGGCUGCUGGCUCCGGCCGGCGAGCGUCUGCCAGAGGACCUAAACUCUGUUUGUCUAUACUGUCUGAGUACUAUAUAAUAGUUAAAACUUUCAACAACGGAUCUCUUGGUUCUGGCAUCGAUGAAGAACGCAGCGAAAUGCGAUAAGUAAUGUGAAUUGCAGAAUUCAGUGAAUCAUCGAAUCUUUGAACGCACAUUGCGCCCCCUGGUAUUCCGGGGGGCAUGCCUGUCCGAGCGUCAUUACAACCCUCAAGCUCAGCUUGGUGUUGGGCCCCGCCGCCCCGGCGGGCCCUAAAGUCAGUGGCGGUGCCGUCCGGCUCCGAGCGUAGUAAUUCUUCUCGCUCUGGAGGCCCGGUCGUGUGCUCGCCAGCAACCCCCAAUUUUUUUCAGGUUGACCUCGGAUCAGGUAGGGAUACCCGCUGAACUUAAGCAUA
rnacentral:rRNA from 1 species